GAUUCUAUGCAUGUCAAGGGUAGGUAAGGUUCUUCGCGUUGCAUCGAAUUAAACCACAUGCUCCACCGCUUGUGCGGGCCCCCGUCAAUUCAUUUGAGUUUUAACCUUGCGGCCGUACUCCCCAGGCGGUCAACUUA
rnacentral:rRNA from 1 species